AUGCAUUUCUGGAUUCACCGGUACAAAUUGUCAGACACCCCGCUCCAUAAAUACUGACCAACGAGCUUCUAGUCCCAUGACGUUAGCAGUUGGAAUUUCAUGUGGAGUUGUCAUAUUGAUCAUUGUGCUGGUGGCUUCUCUGUGGAUCAGGAGGCUGCAGAUGAAAAUCAAAGCGUUAGAAACGAAACGUGAUGAACCGUACGCCUCUCUGGAUCAGACCACAAUGGAACAAAUAUCAGAAACGUGUUAUACGGAGAUGGCAGAGGACAGAUAUGAUGCAAGAUAUAUCAAUUCACCAGUGCGAUAAAUACUCUGGAAACAACUUC